AGCUUCCGAUCAGGGGAGACGAGGGGAAGCGUCCAUCUCGGAUCUCCAGGACGUCGUAGUUCACCUCGGUCCGGAACCUGCGUCGAUCAACGGUUGUGUGUCAGAUGCCAUCGAAACAAUACAGGCCUUAGUCACUUCUGAGCGUUACCACGCUCACGCGCACAUUUACAUCAUUUUCGAUCCUUCGAGCACUCGCUAUCGUCCAGGACUUGUGGGAAAUCUGCGGCCCAGCUGAACGAAACGGGUUAAACGGAAAGGGGCGUGGUGCUUUUCUGAUGUUAUGUAAAAUCCAAGAGUCGCAAACAUGUUUUUUGCAUGUUUCUAAUCAUUUUUUAUUCAGCUUCAUGAAAGUGUGAACGAAAAGGACAGCUGAGCGUCAGAACACAGCGGAGAACUGAGCCUCGAUCCGGAUUACACUGUGCUGGCGGGAGCAGCUUCGUGGAGAGAGACACACACACACACACACACACACGUUUUUGCUUUUCACGUGCAUCUUCUGCGCUGCAUUUCCACGCAUCAUGUGUACAUACGUGUACACACUCACACACCUUUAUGAGGUUGUGUAAGAAGUGUGUGGGCGCAAAAGGCAGGUUGUGCCUGUCACAUUGUUUCAAUACGUGUGUGUACGUCCACAGAUUUGCUUCAUUGUCUGUGUCUGCGUGCGUCUGCGUGCGUCGGAAGGUCCACGCAGGGGAACCCACCCCCAGCGAGCGGAACAAACGCUGAGUUUGCCACUUCUUAAAACCCCCCAGAGAGGGAUGACCGGAGAUGUCCAGUGACAAGGUGUCCCACAUACAGCACUGCAAGGGGCAUGCCAAUCCAUCUACCAUUUAAUGUAAAGCACAUUUACAUUUAGCACACUUUUUUCAAACUAAACCUCUUAUAGCAACUUAGCAGACCAAGGUGCCUCCCAGCGCCCAUCCCAGUGCUCAUUACGGUCUUUUUUAGAUUUUACCAGAGGGGUGGGCAACUCCUGGUACUUGGACCCUGGCAGGUUAAUUAUUUCCCAGUUCUUUUGCUGGGAAGUUUUUUUUUGUUUGUUUUCCUCUCCUCAUUUACCAGAUGUACUCAUUCAUUAUAUUUCAUGAGCAUAGAGUAUUAUUUUUCUGUUUUGCCUUUACUUUCUUUUUUGUGACUUUAACAUGCUACCUGCAUCCAUCCGCAUGUGGCCUGAUACUUCAUGGACAAGAACACUAUAUACAAAUACACCGAAUUCCAAAAUGUUUCUUUUUCGAUGCAAGGUUGACUUUAGGGUAAAGCUGUAAGCUUUAAGCUUGUAAGUACUUUUUGUAUUGUAUGAACCUAUUACUCUAAGUGAUCUUGGACAAAGGCGUGAGCUAAACCAACAACAGCAUCAAUAACACUAACGCUUCUGAAAAUCCUACCCAGCUCCCGUAUGAAGUAUCUCAUGGAAGGGUCCAACAGAAGGCUGCUUUUGUUCACAAGUCCAGGUGAAAGACAUGGAGCUGCCCAGCUGCAGGCUGUCGCCGAAACGCUUGCCGUUGACAGGGACGCCGGGGUCGGGGCAUUCAUUGUGCCGAAAGGCUGUGGUGGCCAAGGAGUUUAAGGGGGUGAAGGGACGGAGGAAGAGAUCCCAGGUUUGAGGAGGUGCAGGCAACGUCGAUGGCAACCGAGGAGUCGAUGCAUCACCCGGGACAGCACCUCGAUUUUCCACAGAUGUCUCCACGCGCAAGAGAGGGGGCAUGUGCCAACCCGCAGGAUUAAUUCCCCUCGCGGAGGAGACACACCCAAGCCUGCUCCGAGCUUCAUCCAUCACCAUCCUCAUAUUUAUUAAAAACCCAGCAAUCUCCCCAAUGGAGUUUGUCAUCUUCUUAAUUAACACGGAUGACGGAACGUGGCCCACCCACGUGAGGGUGUCGGCCGAGUCACAUGACUGGAGAGCGCGACUGCCGUGAUGUCGGCUCCAAUUAGCCACGCUCCAUGUUAUCCAUUUGUUUAUUAACGUGCUAAUAAAUGUAUUAUUUGGGACAUCUUCCCUUGCUGUUGUGUGAAAUUGCCAACAUUAGGAAGAGGCUCGCUGGUGAAUGUGUUCUAGAGGAAUCCAACAAUAUGGUGAUAUUACAUGCUAUUCAAAGUUUAAAGGCCAUAUUAUUUGGACAAUAUGAUGGCCUGGAUUUAAAUAAUAUUAGAAAGUGUCAGAAAUUAUGAGUUACAGCGCUCCGAUCACCAGCUUGGCUGAGGUUUUUGCUGUGAAAGGAAGUUCCACGUCACUAAAUCGAAGGGGUCGCAUACUAUU